UGCAAGUCGAACGAUCCUUCGGGAUAGUGGCGGACUGGUGAGUAACGCGUGGGAAUCUGCCCUCAGGAGGGGGAUAACGGCUGGAAACGGCCGCUAAUACCCCAUAUGCCGAGAGGUGAAAUGAAUUUCGCCUGAGGAUGAGCCCGCGUCUGAUUAGCUAGUUGGUGGGGUAAAGGCCUACCAAGGCAACGAUCAGUAGCUGGUCUGAGAGGAUGAUCAGCCACACUGGGACUGAGACACGGCCCAGACUCCUACGGGAGGCAGCAGUGGGGAAUUUUCCGCAAUGGGCGAAAGCCUGACGGAGCAACGCCGCGUGAGGGAUGAAGGCCUCUGGGCUGUAAACCUCUUUUCUCAAGGAAGAAGACCUGACGGUACUUGAGGAAUAAGCCACGGCUAAUUCCGUGCCAGCAGCCGCGGUAAUACGGGAGUGGCAAGCGUUAUCCGGAAUUAUUGGGCGUAAAGCGUCCGCAGGCGGCCUUGUAAGUCUGUUGUUAAAGCGUGGAGCUCAACUCCAUUUAAGCAAUGGAAACUACAAGGCUGGAGUGUGGUAGGGGCAGAGGGAAUUCCCGGUGUAGCGGUGAAAUGCGUAGAUAUCGGGAAGAACACCAGUGGCGAAGGCGCUCUGCUGGGCCAUAACUGACGCUCAUGGACGAAAGCCAGGGGAGCGAAAGGGAUUAGAUACCUCUGUAGUCCUGGCCGUAAACGAUGAACACUAGGUGUCGGGGGAAUCGACCCCCUCGGUGUCGUAGCCAACGCGUUAAGUGUUCCGCCUGGGGAGUACGCACGCAAGUGUGAAACUCAAAGGAAUUGACGGGGGCCCGCACAAGCGGUGGAGUAUGUGGUUUAAUUCGAUGCAACGCGAAGAACCUUACCAGGGUUUGACAUCCUGCGAACCCCUGAGAAAUCGGGGGGUGCCUUCGGGAGCGCAGAGACAGGUGGUGCAUGGCUGUCGUCAGCUCGUGUCGUGAGAUGUUGGGUUAAGUCCCGCAACGAGCGCAACCCACGUCUUUAGUUGCCAGCAUUCAGUUGGGCACUCUAGAGAGACCGCCGGUGAUAAACCGGAGGAAGGUGUGGAUGACGUCAAGUCAUCAUGCCCCUUACAUCCUGGGCUACACACGUACUACAAUGCUACGGACAAAGGGCAGCAAGCUCGCGAGAGUUAGCAAAUCCCAUAAACCGUGGCUCAGUUCAGAUCGUAGGCUGCAACUCGCCUACGUGAAGGAGGAAUCGCUAGUAAUCGCAGGUCAGCAUACUGCGGUGAAUACGUUCCCGGGCCUUGUACACACCGCCCGUCCCACCAUGGAAGUUGGCCAUGCCCGAAGUCGUUACUCCAACCCUUGUGGAGGAGGACGCCGAAGGUGGGGCUGAUGACUGG
rnacentral:rRNA from 1 species